rnacentral:tRNA from 1 species
GGAGACUUACCCAAGCGGCUGAAGGGUUCGGUCUUGAAAACCGAGAGGUGCUGAAAAGCACGCGAGGGUUCGAAUCCCUCAGUCUCCG